GUACUCCACACUCUGAAUCGAAUAAAAUGUUGGAUAAGACGAUUGCAGACGAUACGGCGUUGAGCAGCAGACGACAUGGGGACAUUACCAUUACUAUGAGAGUGAAUGGGCUUCUGUCCACGGUUUAAACAUUAACCAACAAUUUAGCAUUUCAUCAAGCCGCUAGUUUAAUAGGGUAAUUGGCUUUUUUAUUUUCAGCCAUUAUAUUAGUUUAAAGGUACAGAAGAUUGGUUAACAGGCUGGUGUUUUAGACAGGUUAUAAUAACAUCAGGCCUAUAAGAAUAUAUGUAUAGCCCAUAUUAACUAAAGGACGCGGGGAUCAAAGCCUAGUUCGUUGUGGACCGAGGGAAAGACCCCCAUCGGGAGCAGGGUGAGAAAAAUUGACAGAAGUUUUCCUACCAAAAGGAAAGCCGUGAGAAGACAACAAGAAAAUGAACGAGGCGAGACGUGAGCUGGGGAAUCCCUCUGCAUAGUAAUGGUGUCGUUUGCGGCCAAACGCAAAAGAUUUAUGUCCUCGUGCAUCUGCUGGCAGCAAGCAUGUUUAAAGUGCUGGCUCUCUGGUAGUCUUAGGCUAUGGGACUUACAACGACACAAUAAUAAGUAGGACAUGCGGACAGCGUGGGAGGAUUUACUCUGUAUCAUUAAAUCAGCAUCGGGGGCACGUGGCAGCGCCGGAGAAGGUGUGAGGUUGUAUUUGACUCCAGAUGGAAAACAGACUCUGGCUCCCACGCCACCUUUCGCCACUGCACCUGAACUUUUCUCUGAACCAAGGAGAGACACGGAGAGUUGAGCGAGGAUAUAUUCGAGAGAAACAUAUGGAUGGAUUCCCAAAGAAGAAGAGUUUGAGGGAUUGCUCGUCGCUGCUCUACUGUUGGAUGUUGGCCAGACAGCGGUACAUGUAUCCCCCCACAAUGUUGACAUUUGGGGCUCUUAACAGCGAGGCUAAGGUUACAGAUACUCUCGACCGAAGAUAACUCUUCCUCAAGUGUUUCCAUUGGCCAACAUCAAGGCUGAUGCGAAAUACAACGCUUUAAUUUUGCUUGGUGUCCAAGACCGGGAAACGUCGUGGAGCUCUGGUGGUUUUUGAACUUACAAGUGGUUGCAAAAAAUAAUUAUUGACGUUGCAUGUAUGUAACAUAUUAUCGACGUUAUGGCUAAAUUUAUACUUAUCACCGUACGACGUACUAUAUACGUAAUAUUUAUAUAUAUAUAUAUAUAUAUAUAUAUAUUCAAUGUUAUAUUUAAAAAUGUUCUGUGGCCUUAAUUGUUUGGGUUGAUCAAAAUAUCUAACCUGAAAUAAAUACACAGGGAUAGGGACAUAGCAUUAUAUAUUGUAAUUAAAAACAUUAUUUACGUGUAUCAUCGGGACGUUUUCAGAGUAUAGGCUACAUGUGUUAACUUAUUCCGUUAGGCUAUGAGUUUUGUGCCCUCUCCUUGAGGCACCGUUUCAACAAUGCAUUUGGACAACUUAUCCCCGCGCAAAAAUACUUUCAAAUAAUGAGUUUGGGUAUGUUUGUAUAAGAAACUGUUAAAACGUGCGUUUAUUAAACAAUCUUGUUUUA